ACAUUUACCUAACCCAUAAAACACGUUCAAUGUUAAGGCUGAGCUAAAAUUAUGAUUUUGGUAAAUUAUUGACAACAUAUGAUUUAGGAUCAUCUCUAAGGAAGCUUACGACGGCACCCGUCCACACUGGGGCUGCACAAGCUACCCGGUGUUGUUUUCUUUCAUUCUGCAUGGGACGGGCGUCACAGAUCCUCUCUCCGGUGGCGUCUCUGAGAAUUCAUGUACCUUGUUCGAGCUCGAAAAAAGGAGUGGAAACAUCUUGCAGUUUUAAGCAUAAAAUGACUUGUCCUUUUUGUAUUUCAAAAGAGAUGCUGUCAUCCUUGAAUGAUAAACACACAUGCUUAUAAUGUGAGUUAAAGCCUGAAGGCGUCGGUGAUUUUACCUUUACAUAGAGAUACAAUUUGCUUCCUUGACUCAUCAACAUUGUUGUCAGGUUCUAGCACGCUCAUGAUCCGGUAUUAUCUGACUGAUGUUAAUCAAUGAUUCAAUAUAGUAACUUAUCAUGCAUGGAUAUUAACAGGAACUUUGAACACUUUCAAAGUGUGCAUCAUACCUACCAACAAGUAUUUGGGUCGAGUGAGUGCAAAUUAGAAACUGCACCAUAUGACAUAUGUCAAUCAGCUGAUGAACAUAUUUAUGGUCGUAAAAGACUUGUUUAUUAUCUAUUAGACAUUAAUCUGCAGUACUUUAUGGUAUUAAGUUCUAGAAAACAAAAAGUUGGGCACAGUCCCACAUCUGCUAAGUGAAUAAUGCAUUAAUGAAGGGACGGACAAUAUAAACAGCGGCUCAAGGAGGAAGAAAGCAUACCUUUCUCGGCUAAGAUCAAGUGUAGUAUCUGUUCUUAUCAGUUUAAUAUCUGAUAUGUGGGCCAUCGGCCCACUCGAUAUUAAUCUUAUUUUU